CUUACCUUAAGUUCUACAAGUAUGGCUAUGAUCAAGCUAGGGUUCAAUUUUCAUGAUAAAGCUAGGGUUAGGGUUAGAGAAAGUAUUAGUGCUAGACAUUAUUUAAAGGUAACUUAAAUAAACCUAGUAAGUGCAAAGUUGAGGGUAAGGAAUGAAAUUAAGAUUAUUGUUGAUGGUAAUGAAAUCCAGCAUUAGAAGUUUAUUUAAAACCACACACUUAGCCAUCUG